rnacentral:rRNA from 1 species
UACGUAGGGUGCAAGCGUUAAUCGGAAUUACUGGGCGUAAAGCGUGCGCAGGCGGUGAUGUAAGACAGAUGUGAAAUCCCCGGGCUCAACCUGGGAACUGCAUUUGUGACUGCAUAGCUGGAGUGCGGCAGAGGGGGAUGGAAUUCCGCGUGUAGCAGUGAAAUGCGUAGAUAUGCGGAGGAACACCGAUGGCGAAGGCAAUCCCCUGGGCCUGCACUGACGCUCAUGCACGAAAGCGUGGGGAGCAAACAGG